rnacentral:rRNA from 1 species
GGGGGGGGGGGGGGGGGGGGGGGGGGCGGGGGGGGGGGGCGGGGGGGCGGGGGGCUGGCUGGUCUGGGGUGAGCGGCGGGGGGGCGGGUAACACGUGGCUAACCUACCUGUGAGGCGGGGAUCACGUCGGGAAGCCGGAGCUCGGACCGGAGGAUAUUGUGAACCGCGUGGUUCAACAGUGAAAGACGUGCUUGCUGUCACUUCGAGAGAUGUCCGCGCUGCAUUAGCGAUUUGGUAAGUUAACGGCUUACCAAGGCAACGAGGCAUAGCCGACCUGGGAGGGGGAUCGGCCACACUGGAACUGAGACACGGUCCAGACUCCUACGGGAGGCAGCAGUAGGGAAUCUUCCGCAAUGGGCGAAAGCCUGACGGAGCAACGCCGCGUGAGUGAUGAAGGUCUUCGGAUCGUAAAACUCUGUUAUUAGGGAAGAACAUAUGUGUAAGUAACUGUGCACAUCUUGACGGUACCUAAUCAGAAAGCCACGGCUAACUACGCG